UAGUUGUUUUUACCGACGUUGCUUAGCAGGCUGUCAGAGUUUGAGUUUGGCUUGUUUUCUGGAUCAGAGAUCUAUUAAUAUUGAUAUCAUGUUAAUAUCACAGUGUUUAUUGUUUUUCAUUUAUUGCUCAACCCUGUAUGACAGACAUGUUUAACAGUCAAAUGAUUAGAAAACGAGCGGAGGUCAGACGAGUCGUCUUUUUCCCAGGAAAAGGGAGUUCACCCCGUCAAGCUGGCUCAGUCAUUCGGUGGCGCACAAACUCAUCCAAGCCUGAUUAUUUUUCAGUGACAACACCCUGAGUUUGAUGAGGAUAAAACCCCAGAAUACCAAACUCCUCGAUUGCAACUCGCUGACAUGUCAUCAGUUGAACAUGAAACGGGACGGAAACCUCGCGGAGGUAGCGGCCCCGUGCUCGGCCGUUCGGCGUCUGGCCCAGAGGAGCAACAUCUGCGGUGAAGUCACACCGAGGAGCCGGAGGUCGAAGUGACGAGCCGAGCUGUGGGAAUUCCAGCUCACACACUUUGGCUGCGGAGAAUAUUGAGCAAAGUUCGUGUCCAAGAAGCAAAGCAGCCAGAAAUCCAGUCACCAGUUUCUGAUUCCAGAAUUUUGUGUUUGGAAUCUGAUGUGGGUCAAAGAGGACUUGGAAAAUAUUUCCUACUUCAGCUUGUGCUUAAAUAAAUUUUACAGUAUCA